GAUGAACGCUGGCGGCGUGCCUAAUACAUGCAAGUCGAGCGAGCGGACGAGAAGCUUGCUUCUCUGAUGUUAGCGGCGGACGGGUGAGUAACACGUGGAUAACCUACCUAUAAGACUGGGAUAACUUCGGGAAACCGUAGCUAAUACCGGAUAAUAUUUUGAACCGCAUGGUUCAAAAGUGAAAGACGGUCUUGCUGUCACUUAUAGAUGGAUCCGCGCUGCAUUAGCUAGUUGGUAAGGUAACGGCUUACCAAGGCAACGAUGCAUAGCCGACCUGAGAGGGUGAUCGGCCACACUGGAACUGAGACACGGUCCAGACUCCUACGGGAGGCAGCAGUAGGGAAUCUUCCGCAAUGGGCGAAAGCCUGACGGAGCAACGCCGCGUGAGUGAUGAAGGUCUUCGGAUCGUAAAACUCUGUUAUUAGGGAAGAACAUAUGUGUAAGUAACUGUGCACGUCUUGACGGUACCUAAUCAGAAAGCCACGGCUAACUACGUG
rnacentral:rRNA from 1 species